rnacentral:lncRNA from 1 species
GGAAGGCCGAACCACAAAUUAAAUUAAAUGACCAAAUUCAAUUUAGAAUAGAAGUGCUACACUCCCAAGAAUUGCUACCAUGACCAUGCUACUUCCAUGAACAAAUCCACGAGAUGGAGGUGGAGGAGCCAUUGCCCCACCAUCCAUAGGUCCUGGUGCAGGCCCUGGUACCAUACCCCCCAUGGGUGCCAUACCAGGGGCUGCAGGGGCUGGUGGUGAUGAGUCCAUUGGGCUCAUGGAUGGGCCCAUUGGACUCAUGGAUGGUGCCAUUAUGCUCAUUGGAGGAGAUGACAUGGCGGUUGGUGGCGGUGACAUGGUAGACAUUGGUGGAGGAGUAGUGGUGGUGGGAGUAGUAGGUGGCAUUGACAUGGUGGAUGGUGGCAUUGACAUGGUGGAUGGUGGCAUUGUGGGGGCCAUCAUGGGGGAUUGAGCAACAGAAAGGACUACAAAUGUAAGAAAAAGAGAGAAAAUUAUCAUGGGAUGUGAGAGAGCCAUGAUUAUUGAUGACUCUCUUAGGAUGUCUUUUUUUUUUUUUUAAGGAGAGAAGUACUCUUGAAUAGAGUGCACACACAAAGGUUGUCUUUGAGGAAAUUUG